GCUGGACACGACGACGCCCUACUCCUUCGACAACGCCUACUACAGCAACCUGCUGUCCAACAAGGGGCUCCUGCACUCCGACCAGGUGCUCUUCAACGGCAACAGCACGGACAACACGGUCAGGAACUUCGCCUCCAACAGGGCGGCGUUCAGCAGCGCCUUCUCGUCGGCCAUGGUGAAGAUGGCCAACCUCGGACCACUCACCGGGAGCCAGGGACAGAUCAGGCUUAGCUGCUCCAAAGUGAACUAAUAAUUAAGUAAAGAAUCAAACUGGAUACAAAAGCAAACACAAAUUUGGGAAUAAGGCUGGGCCAUAUAUGUCACAGUAGUAGUAUUUUACUAGUCUGAAAUGUUUGCUAAGAGUGUUUUCUCUGAUCAGCACAAAGUGUUUGAAACAGAUCAGGAAGCCCAUGUUAUGUACCGAUCAGUAUGGUUUUGAAGUUAUCAAGGAAUGCAUGAAUGAUAAUCUCUAACUGUCCCUUGCUUCAAUAUGUUUGGCUGCUAGGGGCAUUUUAGUUUGAUGCCCUCAAUCUUAAUGACAUUCGGAUGGCCCUUUCUUCGGCCAUCCUGGCCAAAAAAUAAUUAAAAAAAGGUUUAACGCCUAUCAAAAUACUAAUAGUCACAAAUGAAGACACAUGAUAGAAAUAGCACAAUUUUCAAUGUACAAGGUGUAUACAUAUUACACUGCACCAUCCUAGGAAAAUAUACAGUGAAAACCACCUAUUUGAUGAAAACUAUCGUAUAAAAGUCUUUAAGAAAAUCACAUAUCUAGAUAAGAUGAUAUUAAAGAACCAUAUAAAAUUGCACGACCAAAUUCAACUUCGUUCAUGAGAUAUAAAAUUAUCAAAUGUCUAUGAAAAAACAUAAUUCCUAUUUUUUUGUCUUGUUCUUCACUACUUUUCAUUCAUACAACUCAUAAAUAAAGUCGAGUUUGGUCUUGCAAUAUUGUACAAAACCUCCGUUUUUUAAUAGAUAACGCCGGUGGCUUUUUAUCACACGUUUGAGCAUUCGCCUUUAUUUUAAAAAAAUUAUGUUAUUAUAAUUUAUUUUGUUGUGAGUUGUUUUAUCACUCAAAUUACUUUAAGCAUGAUUUAUAUAUUAUACAUUUGCAUAAAAUUUUUGAAUAAUACGAAUGGUCAAAUAUGUGUUCAAAAGUUAACGGCGUCAUCUAUUAAAAAGGAGUAUAAUUCUCAAAUAUCAUCUUAUCUAUAUGUGUCAAUUUUUUUUAGAUUUUCUUGAUAAUUUUUAUGAUGUUACUUACAUAGUUUUUACCGUUGUGAUUUUCACCGUAUAUUUAUCCAUAAACCAGAGCCGUUGUGCCUAAGCAUAUAGGUCAAACUAGAGAUGAUCCAGAAUAAAGCCUAGACAGUUGAGGCAACAACUGGUGGUCAUUUUCCUUGGACUGGGAGAGCAAAAUGGUUGCAUAACGGUCAGAGCAAGAUAGAAUUGUAUUUGGACAAAUGCGGACCUUUUGUACGUAAUCAGUCAUGAUCAUGAUGGACCUACAUGUUGAUGUCCAGCUAGCUACACGAAAAUGACGUGCCAUUAUAUAGCUGCUGUUAUAUAUUACUCUAUUAAUUACUCCAUAAUUAAUCAUACUCGCCUACUAGCAUGGCUCUUUCCGAUCCAGAGCUUAUUUAAUUUGUCUGUUCUAGCUCAUCCAUGAUAUAAUAUGUAGUAUACUAUAAGUAACCAAAAUGUAUCACCAAACAUACCUAGAUUAGCAAUUUAGUGUAUCAAGGAAAAUUUAGCACGUCUCUGUGCCUUCAGUCUUCAGUAUCAUGAGAUACCAAAUUUACACUAAAAUUUGAUAUUUCUUGAUAUCUAUUAGGGACGAAAAUUUCUCGUCUCGAAUAUUAAAAAAUUUGGUACCUCUCAAAAACUAUAAAAUUUCUUGUCUUCAAUAUCACCAUAUUUAGCGAUUAAUCAACUUUUUUUAAUCAUCCGCAUAUUACACUCGACGAUGAUUUUUUUAAAAAAAUCUUGUGGGACUUUGUUUAUGUUUUGUUGCAAUUUUUUAUGUUCUACUUAUCCAAUAUAAACCUUGUCACUAUUUGUGUAUAACUGCAAGUGUUGGAAGUUAUAUUUUAAGUUAAUGUCAAGUUAUGGCUUUCAAUUGAAAAACAACACUAAUAUAUUCUGAUUUUGUUGUUGUAUACAUUUAAAUCUCAAAAGAAGGCCAUAAUAUUGUAAGAUGUGCACAUAUAUAUUCAUGAACGCCAAAUUUCCGUAUAAUUCUGACUAACAAUCAUAUUUCGUCUUUCACAGUACUGAUUGUAUGUAUUAUAUAGUGCUAUGUGUGCGUGUGCGUCUUCUGAUGAGCCUAGAAAGGCAACUUGCCAAGGGGAUUGAGCCAUAAUUUGCGGGAUGCAUGUAUAAUGUAUUCCAGCUUAUCAUGCCAUGGCGCACCAGGAAGAAAAAUCUGCCGUCCGACGCAUGCCGCCUGUUUAUCUUGACCAACAACAGCACAAUGGGCUAAUUAAUCAGCAACCAUUCCGAAUCAUACAUAUAUCAUAUUCAUGCUGCAAAUAUUGUAUACGUCCGGAGAGAGAUGUAUCGAACAGGCCCUACACUGAAUGAGUGAUAUACAGAGUUGGUGUUGGAUGUAGCAAUUUAAGUCUGACGCUAUCACAACUGCCGGAUGGGGGCAUGUAUGCAGAUGACGAAACUUCUAUUGUUCAGGUUGAACGUCUUGUACGUACGCUUGUAUGCCAAUGUGGACAAGUUGGACUUGGUGGUCACAAAGUUUGGAUGUUUAUAUCCCUACAAGAGUGGCAUGCUCGUGGCAGCGUACAAAAUCUCUGGCUAUAAAUAUGCAUGCAAUGCAGCAAUCUCUUGCAAGCCACAACGGCCAAGCAGAAAGUGCAAUUAGCCUGCAGGCAGCUAAUCAGUAGUAGCUUGCUAGCCAUGGCUUCUGCAACUAAUUCUUCACUUAGCUUAAUGCUGCUGGUGGCUGCAGCUAUGGCGUCAGUGGCAUCGGCGCAGCUCUCGGCGACGUUCUAUGACACGUCGUGCCCCAAUGCGUUGUCCACCAUCAAGAGCGUCAUAACAGCCGCCGUGAACAGCGAGGCUCGCAUGGGGGCGUCGCUGCUCAGGCUGCACUUCCACGACUGCUUCGUCCAAGCAAGUUUCACACAACCAAUUGUACUAAUUUUCAUGAAAUUAUAGUAUAUUUCGGACGAGAAAAUAACAGAGAACAUAUAUCUAAAAUCACUGCAGGGGUGCGACGCGUCAGUUCUGCUGUCCGGGCAGGAGCAGAAUGCUGGCCCGAACGUGGGGUCGCUGAGGGGAUUCAGCGUCAUCGACAACGCCAAGGCGCGGGUGGAGGCCAUCUGCAACCAGACCGUCUCCUGCGCCGACAUCCUCGCCGUCGCCGCCCGUGACUCCGUCGUCGCGGUAAGAAUGUCACAGCCCUUCGAUCGCCCGUGACUUUCUUUCUGUUGUUCUUUCACUGAUAGAGCUAGCUCCCUCUUGGUUCGCAGCUGGGAGGGCCAUCAUGGACGGUUCUGUUGGGGAGAAGGGACUCCACCACUGCAAGCGAGGCCUUGGCAAAUACCGACCUCCCUGCCCCUUCCUCUAGCCUCGCAGAACUUAUCGGCAAUUUCUCCAGAAAGGGACUCGACGCAACCGACAUGGUUGCUCUCUCAGGUAAUCCGAUAUGGAGUAUUAUAUACGAGUAUAUAUAUAGAUAGAUUAGGAUACCAUGUAUAUAUGUGUUGCAGAUUUUCUGAUAAGAUGAGAGCGCGAUUAAUUAUUUCGCAGGAGCACACACGAUCGGGCAGGCGCAGUGCCAGAAUUUCAGGGACAGGAUCUACAACGAGACCAACAUCGAUUCCGCCUUCGCGACGCAACGCCAGGCCAACUGCCCACGGCCGACGGGCAGCGGCGACAGCAACCUGGCGCCGCUGGACACGACGACGCCCAACGCCUUCGACAACGCCUACUACAGCAACCUGCUGUCCAACAAGGGGCUCCUGCACUCCGACCAGGUGCUCUUCAACGGCGGCAGCGCGGACAACACGGUCAGGAACUUCGCGUCCAACGCGGCGGCGUUCAGCAGCGCCUUCACGACGGCCAUGGUGAAGAUGGGGAACAUCUCGCCGCUGACCGGGACGCAGGGGCAGAUCAGGCUCAGCUGCUCCAAGGUGAACUCCUAAUUAAGGAGUAGUAUGACGGGAUGCGUUCGUUGCUGGAAGCAAAUCGUGUCGACGACGACAUAAACGGGCCACACCACAUAUACCCAUAUAUGUAGUAUAACCACAAGUAUAGGUACGGUGGUGUUGUACUAGUACACGUAAAGUAUAUGGCAGCCAGCUCGCUCUAGCAAUCCAUCAAGUGUAUGGAGCAGAGCAGCCAUGGCAUUAGCACCUAGUAUACCAAAAUAAAAGCUCCUCAUGCGAAGGCAUGCAUGGAGGAUUAAUGAACUGUUACCUUCACACACAUGUCCGUUCACAACUUCUCCAGACUUUUACGGUACAUCAAGCUCCGUUUUUUCAAGUAAACAACACUAGAUUAUGUUUUUUCAUUAGAUAGAGAAAAAAUAAAUACAACCUGCCCCUAGGAGCGAAAAAAAGAAGAAGAAAAAGCCCGUCUUUACAAAUUAUAUACUGAUAGGUAAUAACUCUCUAAGUCAUUUUGUUCCUGCCAUAGUCCAAGUCUUCUUCCUCUAUUUUUGCUAGGAGGGUUAUUGUCGUGGUCUCCUUGUUAGAAAUUUUGUUGGUUCCUCUCCUUCCGUAUCUUCUAGACGACAAGGAGAAUUAGGGAGCGCAAUCCCCGCUUUGGCAUAAAUGUCGUGUUUGGCACACACAUUGAUAGGGGUGGCUAACAAGCCGACUCGGCUCGACUCGUAAAAACUCAUUAAGUUAAUGAGCUAGCUUGGCUCGACUCGUUAACAUAACGAGUUAAAAAUGGAACUCGACUCGACUCAUUAAAAAGUCCGAGUUGACUCAUUAAACGUGUUACACCAAAAAACAUGGUUUGAAAUUCAUAUGCAAUAUAAUUUGUGAUUCUAUGACAAAAAUUAUGAUUGGCGUGCUAUGUAUCAUGGCUCAUAAGAUUGUACUACAAUGUAUAAUUAUGAGUAUAUGACUUUUACACCUGUAAAAUAUGAACAAUUAACUUCUAUCUUAGUGUAUCAUGAGCUCAACGAGCUAAUCGAGUAACUCACGAGCUAGCUCGAGUUGGCUCGUUAAGUAAACGAGUAAAAGUUCAAACUCAUUAACUACUCGAGUUAAGUCGAGCCGAGCCGAGUUUUACACAAGUUGAGCUAGCUCGUAAGUUCGAUUUUUUUUCCACCCCUGCACAUCGAGCUCUGUUUCGCUAUUGAUGUUGGUUGACACGGUGAACUUUGACUCUUUGAGUAUCAAUUAUCAAACGGUGUACUCCUACCGUCUUACGUGCCAUUGCCAUCCCGCGCGGCCGCACCGUCCCAAACUCCCACCGACGCAAGCAAGCGCCGCCCUUCCGCUUGGGCCGUUUUACGCCCGAAUGGUCCGAGACCUACCUAUUGGGCCUUUGGACCGUGUGACGCCACAUUUCGCUCGCAGUGUCUGUCAGACCAGGGAUGGUGGCCCGUGGGCGCUGAGCAGGCCGGCCUUUCAUUUAGUUCGUGUCACCUGUAGGCGGCUAGGCCGGAGGGAAACUAACGUACACUUUUGUUGUUAUUUAUAACUUUAUCGACUAUAAAUUUUGAUAAGCAACAAAUCAAACAUGCCAUAAUCAAUUAGGCAAAAUUCAGUAAUUUACCUUAGCAAAAUUUAGUAAUGGAAAAAUUAGGAAAAACUAAAGUUAUAUUCCCUCCUCCUCAAAAAGAAUACAAUUUUAGAUUUUAAAUUUAUUCCAACAUAUAACGUACUCUAUAGUAUUGCUUUUUCGUCCAACCACCACUCAUUCACCCAUAUAUUACUAACCUAGCUACUCCACCAUUCCCAACUGUCCCUCAUUUGAUGAGUGGUCGAGUAUUUUUCCUAUACUAUACUAGUUUGUCUUUUAAAUAUUACAAUUGUAUUUUUCUUUUUUAGAAUUGAGGUAGUAAAUUUGUAAACAAAGUGAACAGGCCACCAACCUACUAGGUGGACCACUGUACACGAUAAUAUUAUUUGUGCUAUUGUGUUUAUUUUAAUCUAAGUUGCAAAUCAAGAGAGUAUUUUAUUUCAUUCAAAAAGGAAUAAUUUGUGAAACACUCAGCAACUGUAUAAUAUUAGCCGUGAAACUCGGUUAACCAUAAUUUUUUUUCAAAGGAACUAUACGAUAAUUUAAUUAUUUUACUAUCCGCAUUUUAUGGCUUAAGAAACAAGAGUAACAUACGGCACAUGCAACAACCACCAUUCUAGCUAGAGCUAGAAAUGUCGGCCCAACUUGUGAUAGCUAAUUACGUUCGAAUGGAAAAUCAUAUCACCAACAUGCAUGGUUUAAUCAUGGCAACGCUGAUGCGAAAGCUCUCGCAGAUCUAUUAUUUUUUCCCUGGAGAUUGAUCGAAAAUGAUGGCACAACGGUAUGUAAUGCUAUAACAGCAUAUAUUGUCUUGUAACACACCGUUUGCACUUAAAUUAGACAAUUAGUCCGAACGUACAUAAGAAGAUGAAUUGCGAUAGACCAUUCUAGCUCGUCACGAGCUGAAUAGUUCUCGCACUAUUAUACCCGAGAUCAAUUAGCAGAGUAUUAAUAAGGUAAAGUUAUUUUCAUAAACUCUGUACGACGAUAGUGCAUACAUACCAAUCUUUAACAAAGGGACAAAUUAUCGACGGCAUUUGUAUGUUCAUGUGCUAUUCUAUGGCACGGGUGCUCUUUUUUUUUGGCUUAAGCAACGCGUGAUUAAUGGUUAACAGAUUAAGGUCAAGCGAAAUGGACCGAACUGACCCUACAUUGCAUGAAUAAUGCAGAGGUGAUGAUGUUGGCCGUAGGCCGUACGUAGAAACUUAUGUUGGACACACAUGUAAGUACUAGUAGUCUAGUAGCACUAAUAAAGUUAACUAAUAAAUUAUAUAUGAUGUCACUUUAAAAAAUACAGAUUCAAAUUCGAUAUAUUGAAGUUGAACAAAUUAAAUUCUAGCUAGUUAGUAUGCACACAUUCACACUCAUAUUUGUUUUUGUGUUGUAAUUUAUAGAAGUUAAAAUUCAACUUGCAAUUUGUUAGUAAAAACAUAACUAUUUAGAUGACUAGAAACAUAUCCUUCUGUUGUAAUGUGCCAGGCUCAUAUAAGUAGAAAUAUGCUAUUAGAAAAUUAGAGAUAGUACUCUGUGCGUGGUGGGAGGAGGGAUGAAAAAAUGACGAGUUCGAUUUUAAGGUAGUAGAGAUAUGUACAAAGCAAUAGGAUAUUCCUAUUGAGAUUAAAAUACAUUCCCCUGCCCAGCUCCCCUCGUAUGAUUAAUGUACCUGCAUAUUUCGUCUCAUCUCGGCACCAAUCGAUGGCGUCAAGCCUGUAGCUAAGCUAGCUAUAUAAGAUGCAGCGUGGCACCAGCCUCUCUUGCAAGCCACGGCCAGCGAAAAAGCUUAAAAAAAACUGCAGUUAUUUAGGUAGGAUUAAGCAUACGCGCACGGCGCAUCAUAUCGCUCACUCUGCAUGGCUUCGGCUUCUUCUGUCAGCUUAAUGCUGCUCGUGGCUGCAGCUAUGGCCUCAGCCGCCUCGGCGCAGCUGUCGGCGACGUUCUACGACACGUCGUGCCCAAACGCAUUGUCCACCAUCAAGAGCGCAGUGACGGCCGCCGUGAACAGCGAGCCCCGAAUGGGAGCCUCGCUGGUCAGGCUGCACUUCCACGACUGCUUCGUCCAAGCAAGUUUUGAUCACCUAAUCUAAUCAGCUGUACAAGUAGUUCUCCUUAGACUGUACUUUGAGACAAGGAAAUUAAUAACAGAGGAUGUAUCUAUGGACUUCACUGAUGAUGCAGGGCUGUGACGCGUCUGUUCUGCUGUCCGGCCAGGAGCAGAAUGCAGGCCCGAACGCUGGGUCACUUCGGGGAUUCAACGUCGUCGACAACAUCAAGACGCAGGUCGAGGCCAUCUGCAGCCAGACCGUCUCCUGCGCCGACAUCCUCGCCGUCGCCGCCCGUGACUCCGUCGUCGCGGUAAGAUCACGGAUGAGAUUACUACAUGAUGCAUAUAUUUCUUGUAGACUGUAGUAGUACGUACUCCUAAUCGCUCUUGGUUUGGUUUGGAAUCCUUAUAUUUGCAGCUCGGAGGGCCGUCGUGGACGGUUCUAUUGGGAAGAAGGGACUCCACCACUGCGAACGAAAGCCAAGCAAAUACCGACCUCCCUGCCCCUUCCUCUAGCCUCGCUGAACUUAUCGGCAAUUUCUCCAGAAAGGGACUCGACGUAACCGACAUGGUUGCUCUCUCAGGUACAUAUAUAUGUACACAGAUUAUAUCAGUGAUUGAUUCUCUUACAAAUUUUCUGAUAAGAAUCAUAAUACGAUGAGAACUUGCAGGCGCACACACGAUCGGGCAGGCGCAGUGCCAGAACUUCAGGGACAGGCUCUACAACGAGACAAACAUCGACUCCAGCUUCGCGACGGCGCUCAAGGCCAACUGCCCACGGCCGACGGGCAGCGGCGACAGCAACCUGGCGCCGCUGGACACGACGACGCCCAACGCCUUCGACAGCGCCUACUACACCAACCUGCUGUCCAACAAGGGCCUCCUGCACUCCGACCAGGUGCUCUUCAACGGCGGCAGCACGGACAACACGGUCAGGAACUUCUCCUCCAACACGGCGGCGUUCAACAGCGCCUUCACGGCGGCCAUGGUGAAGAUGGGGAACAUCUCGC
rnacentral:lncRNA from 1 species